rnacentral:rRNA from 1 species
AACGAACGCUGGCGGCAGGCCUAACACAUGCAAGUCGAACGCUCGUAGCAAUACGGGAGUGGCAGACGGGUGCGUAACGCGUGGGAACAUACCCUUUGGUUCGGAAUAACUCAGGGAAACUUGAGCUAAUACCGGAUACGCCCGAGAGGGGAAAGAUUUAUUGCCGAAGGAUUGGCCCGCGUCUGAUUAGCUAGUUGGUAGGGUAACGGCCUACCAAGGCGACGAUCAGUAGCUGGUCUGAGAGGAUGAUCAGCCACACUGGGACUGAGACACGGCCCAGACUCCUACGGGAGGCAGCAGUGGGGAAUAUUGGACAAUGGGCGCAAGCCUGAUCCAGCCAUGCCGCGUGAGUGAUGACGGCCUUAGGGUUGUAAAGCUCUUUACCUGGGAAGAUAAUGACGGUACCAGGAGAAUAAGCCCCGGCUAACUUCGUGCCAGCAGCCGCGU